CCUACGGGAGGCAGCAGUGAGGAAUAUUGGUCAAUGGGCGCGAGCCUGAACCAGCCAAGUAGCGUGAAGGAUGACUGCCCUACGGGUUGUCAACUUCUUUUAUAAAGGAAUAAAGUGAGGCACGUGUGCCUUAUUGUAUGUACUUUAUGAAUAAGGAUCGGCUAACUCAGUGCAAGCAGCCGCGGUAAUACGGAGGAUCCGAGAGUUCUCCGGAGUGAUUGGGUUUAAAGGGAGCGUAGAUGGGUUGUUAAGUCAGUUGUGAAAGUUUGCGGCUCAACCGUAAAAUUGCACUUGAUACUGGCAGUCUUGAGUACAGUUGAGGUAGGCGGAAUUCGUGGUGUAGCGGUGAAAUGCUUAGAUAUCACGAAGAACUCCGAUUGCGAAGGCAGCUUACUAAGCUGCCACUGACAUUGAUGCUCGAAAGUGUGGGUAUCAAACAGGAUUAGAUACCCUGGUAGUC
rnacentral:rRNA from 1 species